UACGUAGGGGGCUAGCGUUGUCCGGAUUUAUUGGGCGUAAAGAGCGUGUAGGCGGCCAGGUAGGUCUGCUGUGAAAACUCGAGGCUCAACCUCGAGACGUCGGCGGAAACCAUCUGGCUAGAGUCCGGAAGAGGAGAGUGGAAUUCCUGGUGUAGCGGUGAAAUGCGCAGAUAUCAGGAAGAACACCCGUGGCGAAGGCGGCCUUCUGGACGGAUACUGACGCUGAGACGCGAAAGCGUGGGGAGCGAACAGG
rnacentral:rRNA from 1 species